rnacentral:rRNA from 1 species
GUGCCAGCCGCCGCGGUAAUACCGGCAGCCCAAGUGAUGGCCGAUCUUAUUGGGCCUAAAGCAUCCGUAGCUGGCCGCGCAAGUCCAUCGGAAAAUCCACCCGCCCGACGGGUGGGCGUCCGGUGGAAACUGGCCGGCUUGGAACCGGAAGGCUCAGAGAGUACGUCCGGGGUAGGAGUGAAAUCCCGUAAUCCCGGACGGACUACCGAUGGCGAAAGCACUCUGAGAAGACGGCUUCGACAGUGAGGGACGAAAGCUCGGGUCUCAAACCGGAUUAGAAACCCCAGUAGUCC